ACUGUUGAAUAUGAUGAUAGUUUGGUGAAAUUAUGGACAGAGGAAGAACAGAAUGUGUUGAUUACGCGAGAAAAAACCAAAGUGUUGCCGUUGUCUUGGGAGGCCAAGUAUGUUCAAAAUCUAUUCUAGCUCGAGGAGUUAAGACAUAACAUUGCAGCCGCAGAAUCCGACAAGCAUGAGACCAUAACAGAUCUUGUGAAGAAACGAAAAGCCACCUUGAAAGCUAUUGUGUCAAUCGAGAAAAGUCGGAAAAUGAAGCAAAGAUGGAUAUUUGGCGAGGCAAUGUUUAAUUUUGCCGCUCUAACUGUUGAAAAAACAAGGAGAGAGCGUACAAUCGAACGGAUAUAUGC